GAGCCACCAACUACUCCUUUUCUCCAUCUCUUUCCCCAUCUACUACUUCUCUCUCUCUCUCUUGUGUGUGUGAGAAAGAGAGAGGGAGGUUGAGGGUUUUGUUAAGGGCAAAUUCAUGGAGGGCUUAUCAAAGGGUUUCUAACAGAGCUUAUUGGCAUUCUGUCCACCUCCUCCUAUCAUUUUUUGAGAAAAAAACAUUACAUAAUGUGAAAAUUAUAUAUAAAAAAUUGUUAGUUAGAGGAGGUGGGCAUACUGCCAACUGAUCUAUGUUGGUUUCACUUUGUAAAACCCUCAUGAAUAAUUUUCCACAACUGUCUCAAAAUCAAGGUUUUGUUGGAAUCUCUAUGUGAAAAUCCAAUCAAAGGCAGAUGAAUAUAUAUGGAGGCCUAUUAUCGUUCAUUAAUUUCCUCUAAUGGAAGGACGUUGAUGAAGAUUUUGCCCUUUUCCGGAAAAUAAAAGUUAAACAUGGAAAAAGCUUAUGCAAAUUACACAGAGUGGUAGGGCAAAAAGGAAGAAUAUAUUUUUAGUGCUUUUGGUUUUACAGUGGUUUUAAUGUAGGCUCAUGAUUGAUUUUUCUGACAAUUUAGAUAAAAUAAUCGUAGCAUUUAAGGCGUUUUAAUUUGUAUAGGUUAUUAAUCUUCUCAAAUACUACAUGGCUAGUUCAAGAUCAUUUGACAUCCAUUUUUAAAUUUCAAAUUUUAAAAUAUU